ACUUAUUUAAUAUAAUUAAGUAUAUUUGACUUCCAAUCAAAAAGUUUGUAAACAAAAUAAGUA
rnacentral:tRNA from 2 species